rnacentral:misc_RNA from 1 species
ACUUUGAAUUGGCUUUGGAGGCUGACAACUCAAAUACCCAUGCUAGGUAUUGGUUGUCAAAAUUGCAUUUGAAGUAUCAUGUUCCUGGGGCAUGUAAAGCUAUGUAAGUUUACUUCCUACUUCUCCUUUUGGCGCAUGCAUGUGGAUGUGAUUAUAGUAUGAGGUGUAGACAUUGUGAUUUGUGAGUACUGAGUACACUAAUUUGUUAAAAUAGCCUGUGAGCUAGCUAGACAAUCAAUUACAUUUUUAGCUGUU